rnacentral:tRNA from 1 species
AGAGAUUUAGGUUAACCAGACCCAGAGCCUUCAAAGCCCUAAGCAGGAGUUAAACCCUCCUAAUCUCUG